GGGGUCGUAGCGAAGCCAGGCAUCGCAACGGGCUCCAGACCCGUGGAUCAAGGGUUCAAAUCCCUUCGGCCCCA
rnacentral:tRNA from 1 species